rnacentral:ncRNA from 1 species
GGGCAAGAUGGGCGAAGUUAGCUAACCGGCAAGCCGGUUAUCUAUCUUCGCUUCCCCUUAUUCGCGCCGGUGGCACUCAACGGGGCAUCUUGCUCUGCGAGGCA